AUUCCAGCUCCAAUAGCGUAUAUUAAAGUUGUUGCAGUUAAAAAGCUCGUAGUUGGAUUUGUGGUGUUGCCUGCAGUCCAAUUAGCUUUGGUGCUAGCGGGUGGUGCCAUCUUUGGGUGGAACCUGUAGGGCAUUAGUUUGUUUUGCAGGGGAUAUUCAUCGUUUACUGUGAAAAAAUUAGAGUGUUCAAAGCAGGCUUACGCCGUUGAAUAUACUAGCAUGGAAUAAUGAGAUAGGACUUUGGUACUAUUUUGUUGGUUUGCGCGCCAAAGUAAUGAUUAAUAGGGACAGUUGGGGGUAUUCGUAUUCCAUAGUCAGAGGUGAAAUUCUUGGAUUUUUGGAAGACGAACUACUGCGAAAGCAUUUACCAAGGAUGUU
rnacentral:rRNA from 3 species